AGCGUAGCUCAAUUGGCAGAGCAAUUGAUUUGUAAUCAAUAGGUUGCCAGUUCGAUUCUGGCCGC
rnacentral:tRNA from 1 species